GGGACCCACUGCCCAGCCUGCGGGCAGCCCAUGCUACCAGAGAUACCCACUCCUCCCCUCCCAGACGUGGGCUGGACCUUCUCUCUGUGCAGCUAGGUCAGACUGGCACAGGUGACAAUGGGAGGGUGGGUGGGCACAGAGCCUGCCUGAGGGGCACAGGGCCAGGAAGAAGGCCCCCAUGGCACAGCAACAGACACCUGAGAACUCGCCCUGAUGGACACCUCCGCAGAGGUGUAGCCUGACACCCAGCACCUGGGGACCAUGACCUGAGCUCAGCCCUCAGGACCUGACUCCGACAUGAGAAAGUGAGAUGGGAAUAAGCAGGCAUCUUGCCACAGCAAGGUUCUCCCUAAGAGCAGAGAGCAGCCUUCUAGAGUGAAAGGCCAGGAGAGGCUCCAAUGGCUGCCAGGCUGGAGACAAACCUCGGCUCCCAUGAGUCUUAGGCUGAAAGUGGACAAACACCCUUGACCCUGGGAGGCCCGGACAAACCCAAUCAACGCUUACCCAUCGUGGGGAAAUCUCCCUUCUCGGUCCUCCCUUCUCACCCACAUCACUGUACCCC
rnacentral:lncRNA from 1 species